rnacentral:rRNA from 1 species
AUUGAACGCUGGCGGCAGGCCUAACACAUGCCAGUCGAGCGGAUGAAGGGAGCUUGCUCCUGGAUUCAGCGGCGGAAGGGUGAGUAAUGCCUAGGAAUCUGCCUGGUAGUGGGGGAUAACGUCCGGAAACGGGCGCUAAUACCGCAUACGACCUGAGGGAGAAAGAGGGGGAUCUUCGGACCUCAUGCUCUCAGAUGAGCCUAGGUCGGAUUAGCUAGCUGGUGGGGUAAAGGCCUACUAAGGCGACGAUCCGUAACUGGUCUGAGAGGAGGAUCAGUCACACUGGAACUGAGACACGGUCCAGGCGCCUGCGGGAGGCAGCAGUGGGGAAUAUUGGACAAUGGUCGAAAGCCUGAUCCAGCCGUGCCGCGUGUGUGAAGAAGGUCUUCGGAUUGUAAAGCACUUUAAGUUGUGAGGAAGGGCAGUAAGUUAAUACCUUGCUGUUUUGACGGUACCAACAGAAUAAGCACCGGCUAACUUCGUG